UACGUAGGGUGCAAGCGUUAAUCGGAAUUACUGGGCGUAAAGCGUGCGCAGGCGGUUAUGCAAGACAGAUGUGAAAUCCCCGGGCUCAACCUGGGAACUGCAUUUGUGACUGCAUGGCUGGAGUGCGGGCAGAGGGGGAUGGAAUUCCGCGUGUAGCAGUGAAAUGCGUAGAUAUGCGGAGGAACACCGAUGGCGAAGGCAAUCCCCUGGGCCUGCACUGACGCUCAUGCACGAAAGCGUGGGGAGCAAACAGG
rnacentral:rRNA from 1 species